rnacentral:rRNA from 1 species
AUUAUACUAUUAGACGGAUAGCUUGGUUUUGGACUUGAAGAAGGACGCGGCAAGCUGCGAAAAGCCUGGGCGAGACGCAUGCAGUCAUUGAACCCAGGGUCUCCGAAUGCACCGAAAGGUGGAAUUACGUCGGGAAUUGAAACAUCUUAGUACCGACAGGAAAAGAAAACAUAACGUGAUGCCCUUAUUAGCAGAGAGCGAAAUGGGCGAAGGGCAAGCUGAAUCUUCUUUCGAAAGAGAGAUUGAGAUGUGGUGAGAUGUAGUCUAAGUCGUCGAAGAAAAGUGCACUGGAACGUGCUACCUCAGAGGGUGAUAGUCCCGUAUUUGAAGACGAUAUGAUGAUUCUUAAGAGAGUAGGGCUUCCUGGAUUGGAGGUCUGAAUAUGGCAGGAUUAACUGCUAACCCUAAAUAGAACCAAAGUCCGAUAGCGCAUUAGUACCGCGAGGGAAAGCUGAAAAGUACUCUUAACAGAGGGUUAAAAGACUUGAAAUCUAAUAGUUACAGAUAGUUACUGCUCUAUUCACUUAAGUGUGGAAGGGUUGUAACGUACGUUUCGAAGAACGGGCCAGGGAGUUAAUUCAUGUGGCAAGACUAACUUACAUUGUAAGGUAAUCGAAGAGAAAUCAAGUCUGAAAAGGCGCGAGUCACAUGGGUUUGACCUGAAACCGGGUGAUCUAUUCGUGGACAGGGUGAAGUCUCCCGAAAGGGGGAUGGAGGCCCGAACCGGUGUUGUGAACAUGCACUCGAAUGAUCUGCGAAUAGGGGUGAAAAGCUUAUCUAACCCGGCGAUGGCUGGUUCCUGCUGAAAUAUGCCUCCGUAUAGUCUUGUUUUGUUUGUUAACGGUGUAAAGUACGGAUAAAAAUUGCAGGGUCUAAUGACUACGGGUUUUUUUCCAACUCAGAAACUGUUAACUGCUUAGAACAGGAAACAGGGUGUGUAUGUAAGAUACACUUCCAAGACCAGAACAAUGGAGACUAAAGUUAAGGUCCCAAAAUAUAUGUUAAGUGUAACAAACUCUGUCUAAAAUCUGAGACAGUAGGGAUGUAAGCUCAGAAGCAGCUACCAUUUAAAGAAAGCGUAACAGCUCACCUAUCGAGAUUUUGGGCGAGGAAAAUGGACGGGGCUAAACAUAUUACCGAUACUUUAGCGGCGCUCUUAAGAGCGUUCGGGUAAGCAGGCGUCUUCUUUGCGUAGAAGCAUCUUCGAGAGAAGGUGUGGAGCGAAGAGGAAUGAAAAUCCUGGCAAAAGUAGGAUGUGAUUUUCCUGAGAAUGGAAAAUGUCGAAAGGGCAAGGUUUCCUUGGCAAUAUUCAUUAGCCAAGGGUUAGUCAGCACCUAAGUCAUACCUUAACUGCGUAUGACAAUGGAUAUCAGGUUAAUAUUCCUGAACUGAUUGCAUUUGUUGUGAAUAGCUUCCGGAUAUGUGAGCACUCGAAAGGGUGUUCUUGUAAAAAAAUAAAGUUAGCGUAAUGCUGAGAUCUUUAUGAAUUUGCAGGACAAAAUCGCUGAGUCCAGGAGUCAGUGAAAAGUUUACGAUGUGACGGUGUAAUUAGCUGUACCCACAACCGACACUGGUGCCCUAGCUGAUUAGGCUAAGACAUGUAAGGUUUAAACGAGAUAAGGGAAUUCGGCAUAUUGGCCCUGUAGCUUCGGCUGAAGGGGUGUCUAUUUUUGUGUGCUUAGAAAUUUGCAUGCAUUCAUAGAUCACAGUAACAAGGAUGGCCCGACUGUUUACCAAAAACGUAACCAAGUGCUAAUCCGAAAGGACGUGUAUACUUGGUGAGACCUGCCCAGUGGUGGUGUCUAAAACUCUUUUUCAAGGGAGCUAAUGCCCAUCAAACGGCGGGGGUAACUAUGACCCUCAAUUUAGGGGGCAUCAAAAUUUGGCUGUAUGCGGGAAACUCUCGCUAGGCUUUUGGUACUCGUCGAUAAUAAAUUUUAUCGUCAGUAAAAAUCUAAAAGAUAGAGACGAUCCGCAGGAAACCGAAGAUUUAAAUAUUUGACCUUCUAUAUAUGGUCAUGAACCAAGAACAACUUAUUUAUUACUUGGCUGGAUUUAUUGAUGGAGAAGGGUGCUUCUGCAUUGCUUUAAAAAAUCAAAAAUCUGCAAAAGUAAGAUGGGUGCUUGAUCCAGUAUUUCAUGUAACUCAAAAUUCAAAUCAUAAAGAGAUUUUAUAUCUUUUACAAAAAGUUUUGAAUUGUGGUAUUGUUAUAAAAAAAUAUGGACAAGAACAAACAAUGCAAUUUGUUGUUCAAAGUAGAAGAGAUUUAGUUGAUAAAGUAAUUCCGUUUUUCCGUAAAUAUCCAUUAAUGACAAAAAAUAAAGACUUUGAAAUUUUUGCAGAAGUUGUUGAAUCUUUAGAUCAACAUAAACAUGCAGAUAUAAAUAAUUUUAAAAAAUUAUUGAAGAAAGUUUUUACAAUGAAUAGUGGGGGAAAACAGCGACGAUAUAAACUAGAUGAAGUGUUAAAUUCUUUGGGAUCCUCAGAGACUAUACGCCAAACACGAGCUAAAACUAAAUUGCAAUCGUGAUGAUAUAGUCCGAUCUUCAUGGAGACAUGAAGACUUCAAUAGAAAUGUUGAAGCGCCAUCGAAAGAUGGUUAGUAAUUUAACUUCAUGUUAAAUGAAAGUAACAAUUCGCUUAAGGUAGCGUAAUGCCUUGUCGUCUGAAUGGCGACGUGCAUGAAUGGUUUAACGAGGUUGUCACUGUCCCUAUCUCGGACCUUCUGAAAAUAUUUUGUGGUGAAAAUGCCACGGACUUCUAGUGGGAAGCGAAGACCUUGUGGAACUUUACUGCAACUUGUUGUUGUGAUUUU